ACUAUUUUGGCAGAUUACUGCAAUAAAUUUAGAAUUUAUAUAUGUGAUUUUUAUUACAGAUAGU
rnacentral:tRNA from 1 species